rnacentral:rRNA from 1 species
UGAGGAAUUUUGCGCAAUGGGGGAAACCCUGACGCAGCAACGCCGCGUGGGUGAUGAAGGCCUUCGGGUCGUAAAGCCCUGUCGGGCGGGAAGAACGUCCCUUCGGAGAAUGACGGUACCGCCAGAGGAAGCACCGGCUAACUCCGUGCCAGCAGCCGCGGUAAUACGGAGGGUGCAAGCGUUAUUCGGAAUUACUGGGCGUAAAGGGCGUGCAGGCGGGAGAGCAAGUCUGAUGUGAAAGCCCGGGGCUUAACCCCGGAAGGGCAUUGGAAACUGCUUUUCUUGAGUUCUGGAGAGGAAGGGAGAAUUCCCGGUGUAGAGGUGAAAUUCGUAGAGAUCGGGAGGAACAUCAGUGGCGAAGGCGCCCUUCUGGACAGCAACUGACGCUGAGACGCGAAAGCGUGGGGAGCAAACA